ACGAACGCUGGCGGCGUGCCUAAUACAUGCAAGUAGAACGCUGAAGAGAGGAGCUUGCUCUUCUUGGAUGAGUUGCGAACGGGUGAGUAACGCGUAGGUAACCUGCCUUGUAGCGGGGGAUAACUAUUGGAAACGAUAGCUAAUACCGCAUAACAAUGGAUGACACAUGUCAUUUAUUUGAAAGGGGCAAUUGUUCCACUACAAGAUGGACCUGCGUUGUAUUAGCUAGUAGGUGAGGUAAUGGCUCACCUAGGCGACGAUACAUAGCCGACCUGAGAGGGUGCUCGGCCACACUGGGACUGAGACACGGCCCAGACUCCUGCGGGAGGCAGCAGUAGGGAAUCUUCGGCAAUGGGGGCAACCCUGACCGAGCAACGCCGCGUGAGUGAAGAAGGUUUUCGGAUCGUAAAGCUCUGUUGUAAGUCAAGAACGGGUGUGAGAGUGGAAAGUUCACACUGUGACGGUAGCUUACCAGAAAGGGACGGCUAACUACGUG
rnacentral:rRNA from 1 species